AAUUGUAUUUGAACUCAAAAAUGAGUUCACCUUGAAAAUUUCAGAAGUCCAACGAUCGCCUAUAAAUCCUCAACAUUAUCCAGAAACAACAUAUUUGCUCCUUAUUAUACGAUGUGGACAUUGAAACGCACGCUCAAACCACGUCUGGAAAUAUCGCGGGAAAGACCAAGUUUUCAGACCAUAACUUCUCUGUGCCAUAACCAACUACCAAGAUGGUGGUACCGGCGUGAACAGUUUUUAUGACCUUACUUGUGAAAAUGGUCUGUGAUCUCGCACCAGAUACGGAUAGUCGGAUAGUCGGAUAGUCAUUGGUUCAUGCCCGCGGCGAGCUCCCAGACGUACCAUGAAAAUCGAACGCCAGAGAUAUUUGAGGACCGAGAUUCAUUAAUAUCAGUAUACUAUAGUUAAUGUAUUAUGCUCAAAGAGGUUAGGUACUACAGAAAACGAUUUUCGCUGGGAUUCCCUUUGUUCUUCUCUACAAACAUGUUGAGCGCAUAAAUGUCAAUUCUUUGAUCAAAUCAUAAAGAAUUCGCAAUAGCAUUUCCCAGCAUAUAAAUAUCAGCCAGCAAAGAAUGUAACGACUGUGACAAUCUUUCU